rnacentral:lncRNA from 1 species
UUCCUUUGUUCCUCACAGGUUUCUGGGACUGCAUUCAUGAACUCAUCCUUUGAAGUAUUUCAACAAGCUUUUUCAUGUAACUAAUCUGCGGAAGGUAGAAAGGGGAAAACUGUUGGGUGCUAAAAUGACAACUGGUUCAAGGCUAUGGCAGGAGUUGGACUGGAGUAUACAGAACGGAUUAACUUAUUCUAAUUGUUAUCUAAAGUAGAGGCAUUGAGCACUGAUAUGGUUUGGCUGUGUCCUCAACCAAAUCUCAUCUUGAAUCAGUUCCCAUAAUCCCCACGUGUCAAGGGCGGGACCAGCUGGAGGUAACUGAAUCAUGGGAACGGUUUCCCUCAUGCUGUUCUCGUGAUAGUGAGUUCUCACAACAUAUGAUGCUUUUAUAAGCGUCUGUCAUUUCUGCUGCUGUUACUCAUUGUCUCUCCUGAUGGCCUCUGGAGAGGUGACUUUGCCAUGAUUGUAAGUUUCCUGAGGCUUCCUAGCCAUGUGGAAUUGUGAGUCAAUUAAACAUCUUUUCUGUAUAAAUUACCCAGUCUUGGAUAUUUCUUCAUAGCAGUGUGAGAACGGACUAGCACAAGCAUAUUUCCAAAAUACAUUCUGACAGGGUCCUUGCUUCCAGAGCUCCCAAGAUGGUGGUGGGCCACUUCCAAGAUGGUGGCAAGAGUCGUAUUCUCUGACCUGGGGUUCUCGGUCUCAUGGAUUCCAAGGAAUGGAAUCUUGCGCCAUGUGGUAAGUGUUAUAACUCUAUUAGAAGUCGUGGGUCACGGAAGGGAACCAUGGACCCCAGUGACUAGUGUUCAACUCAAUUAGGAUGAACCCAGGCACUUAGCCCUGCAGGAACAAUGGCAAGCAUUUAACCCGAUGUGGAGCAGCAAUGGGCGCCUCGCUGGAUUAGGAGCACAGCGGGCACCCUGCUGGAUCCAGAGGGAUGGAAGUCAGCGG